GGCUUCGUAGCUCAGCUGGUAGAUCAUUUGCGGCGUUUUGGCAUGGUGUUUCUGUCGCUCGUUCGAAUCCAGCCGAAGUCC
rnacentral:tRNA from 1 species